CAGUAGCCGCGGGAAUACGAAGGGGGCUAGCGUUGUUCGGAUUUACUGGGCGUAAAGCGCACGUAGGCGGAUAUUUAAGUCAGGGGUGAAAUCCUGGAGCUCAACUCCAGAACUGCCUUUGAUACUGGGUAUCUAGAGUCCGGAAGAGGUGAGUGGAACUCCUAGUGUAGAGGUGGAAUUCGUAGAUAUUCGGAGAAACAUCAGUGGCGAAGGCGGCCAUCUGGGACAACACUGACGCUGAAGCACGAAAGCGUGGGGAGCAAACAGGAUUAGAUACCCCUGUAGUCCCUGUCUCUUAUAC
rnacentral:rRNA from 1 species